CUACGGGGGGCACCAGUGGGGAAUAUUGCACAAUGGAGGAAACUCUGAUGCAGCAACGCCGCGUGGGGGAUGACACUUUUCGGAGCGUAAACUCCUUUUAUAUGAGAAGAUAAUGACGGUAUCAUAUGAAUAAGCAUCGGCUAACUCCGUGCCAGCAGCCGCGGUAAUACGGAGGAUGCAAGCGUUACUCGGAAUCACUGGGCGUAAAGAGCAUGUAGGCUGGUUGGUCAGUCAGGUGUGAAAUGCUACAGCUUAACUGUAGAACUGCACUUGAAACUGCCAACCUAGAGUAUGGAAGGGGCAGAUGGAAUUAGUGGUGUAGGGGUAAAAUCCGUAGAGAUCACUAGGAAUACCGAAAGCGAAGGCGAUCUGCUGGGACAUAACUGACGCUGAGAUGCGAAAGCGUGGGGAGCAAACAGGAUUAGAUACCCGCGUAGUC
rnacentral:rRNA from 1 species